rnacentral:rRNA from 1 species
AUUGAACGCUGGCGGCAGGCCUAACACAUGCAAGUCGAGCGGAUGAAGGGAGCUUGAUCCUGGAUUCAGCGGCGGACGGGUGAGUAAUGCCUAGGAAUCUGCCUGGUAGUGGGGGAUAACGUCCGGAAACGGGCGCUAAUACCGCAUACGUCCUGAGGGAGAAAGUGGGGGAUCUUCGGACCUCACGCUAUCAGAUGAGCCUAGGUCGGAUUAGCUAGUUGGUGGGGUAAAGGCCUACCAAGGCGACGAUCCGUAACUGGUCUGAGAGGAUGAUCAGUCACACUGGAACUGAGACACGGUCCAGACUCCUACGGGAGGCAGCAGUGGGGAAUAUUGGACAAUGGUCGAAAGCCUGAUCCAGCCAUGCCGCGUGUGUGAAGAAGGUCUUCGGAUUGUAAAGCACUUUAAGUUGGGAGUAAGGGCAGUAAGUUAAUACCUUGCUGUUUUGACGUUACCAACAGAAUAAGCACCGGCUAACUUCGUG